UUACUGACUUUAGGAUGGAGUUCUUCAAUGAACAGGGCUAAACAAAAAGAUCAGUAGAUUUAAUUUUCUUAUCAAUCACUUAAGCUUUUUAUUUGGUAUUUUGUAAAAAGCCAUUCAAAAGAUGCAAUAAAUUUUUUCUGAAAUACUUUUAGAAACUUAUGCCUAUUGAAGGCAUCCCUGGGUGGGCGGCAUUCCUCCGUGCAAGCUUCCAGCUUCCUUUUUUAUGUUUUGCAUCCCUAUUUCUCAGGCUGCUCUUUGUUAGAAAAACUCUAGGAAGCCUUUAAUCAACGAGAAGG
rnacentral:lncRNA from 1 species